UACAGAGGUCUCGAGCGUUAGGCGGAAUCACUGGGCUUAAAGCGUGUGUAGGCGGACUUCUAAGUACCUUGUGAAAUCCCACGGCUCACCCGUGGAACUGCUCGGUAUACUGGUCGUCUUGAGCCUUUCUAGGGGGCGAGUGGAACAAAUGGUGGAGCGGGUGAAAAUGCGUAGAUAUCAUUUGGAACGCCAAUGGUGAAAACAACUCGCUGGGGGAAGUGCUGACGCUGAGACACGAAAGCCAGGGGAGCGAACGGGG
rnacentral:rRNA from 1 species